UGAAAAUGAUUGCCAAAUAAACAAGCCCAUAGCAGUAACGUAAAAAAGGCUCUAGUCCAUAGACGGUGUACAGGUGUGAAAUAUGAAAUGGCUUCCAUCCUGAGAUGAGCAGUCUGCCGGCCGGGACAUCAGGAAGAUGCUUCCGUACCAUCUGGCGCCUCAACUGAGGAACAGUCGUGCCUCUCCCAGGGUCACUUGGAAUUCUGAACAUAAGCAGGUGGUUGAUUAUAUAUGGAGGGGAGCAGAGACAUUUGGGCAUAUUGGUCGGCAUCCAGAAUGCCUAAUACAAUGUCUGUCUCAUUAAAUCUGGUGGAACAGAAGCAUAUGACAAUAUGUAGUAAAAGCAAUGAUGUUUAUAAAGGUAUGAUGUCUCCAAAGCGGGGAUCACGGACAUGCUCAGUGUGUGAGGUCUUCAUAAAACCAGCCAACAGUCUAAGAAGGAAUAUUCCAACACAGUGUGUGCCCUCUCUCAUUCCACAGCAAUGCCUGUACGCUCCUAGAAACUGGCAUCAUAUUCACUGUCUUGUAUCAAGUGUGUUACUCUCCAGUGCCCAUUAUGCCAGUUUUAGCAUCAGUAGCACUGUUCUAAUCCAUUCAGCUAACUAAACCAGGCUCCUCUCCAGAUUCCUAAUCCAUCCCUGCCCUGUCAUCCUUUCUACAGAUUCUUGUUUUGUUCAGAGAUAAUAUCCAGCAUCGUGGAGUCUUUUCAGAUUCAUUAUCCUCCGUAUAACUGGAAAGAUUUUGGUUCAUAUACAAACUGUUGCCAAACGCUAAAGUCACCAAUACAUAGAUCUGCACUUAUCCUCAUUUCAUUGAUUAGGAUCUUCAAUUGAUUAGGAUUAACAAAGAUAAAUUGCUAAUGUCUGAUUAGAGAGGCUUAAAGAGUUGAUCUCACUUUAGCCUUUAAAAGAAGCCAUGUAUU